GAACGCUGGCGGCGUGCCUAAUACCUGCAAGUCGAGCGAACAGACGAGGAGCUUGCUCCUCUGACGUUAGCGGCGGACGGGUGAGUAACACGUGGAUAACCUACCUAUAAGACUGGGAUAACUUCGGGAAACCGGAGCUAAUACCGGAUAAUAUAUUGAACCGCAUGGUUCAAUAGUGAAAGACGGUUUUGCUGUCACUUAUAGAUGGAUCCGCGCCGCAUUAGCUAGUUGGUAAGGUAACGGCUUACCAAGGCGACGAUGCGUAGCCGACCUGAGAGGGUGAUCGGCCACACUGGAACUGAGACACGGUCCAGACUCCUACGGGAGGCAGCAGUAGGGAAUCUUCCGCAAUGGGCGAAAGCCUGACGGAGCAACGCCGCGUGAGUGAUGAAGGUCUUCGGAUCGUAAAACUCUGUUAUUAGGGAAGAACAAAUGUGUAAGUAACUAUGCACGUCUUGACGGUACCUAAUCAGAAAGCCACGGCUAACUACGUG
rnacentral:rRNA from 1 species